AGUAUGCUUAACACAUGCAAGUCGUACGGGAGAAAGGCAACUUUCUUUAGUGGCGGACGGGUGAGUAACGCGUAAGAAUCUUCCCUUUAGAGUGGUAUAACCUUUGGAAACGAUGGUUAAUCCCGCAUACGAGAGUAAUCUUGAAAGGUACAGCAAUGUAUCGCUAGAGGAUGAGCUUGCGUCUGAUUAGCUAGUUGGUGAGGUAAUGGCUCACCAAGGCGAUGAUCAGUAGCUGGUUUGAGAGAACGACUAGCCACACUGGGACUGAGACACGGCCCAGACUCCUACGGGAGGCAGCAGUGGGGAAUUUUUCGCAAUGGGCGCAAGCCUGACGGAGCAAUACUGCGUGGAGGAUGAAGGCUCGUGGGUUGUAAACUCCUUUUCCUAGAGAAGAAAUCAUUGACGGUAUCUAGGGAAUAAGCAUUGGCUAACUACGUGCCAGCAGCUGCGGUAAUACGUGGAAUGCAAGCGUUAUCCGGAUUUAUUGGGCGUAAAGCGUCUGUAGGUUGCUUCGCAAGUUUGCUGUUAAAUUGUUCGGCUCAACCGAAUCCCAGCAGCAAAAACUAUGAAGCUUGAGUGUGGUAGAGGAAAAAGGAAUUCCCUGUGGAGCGGUGAAAUGCGUAGAGAUAGGGAAGAACACCAAUGGCGAAAGCAUUUUUCUGGGCCUGCACUGACACUGAGAGACGAAAGCUAGGGGAGCGAGCGGGAUUAGAUACCCCGUUAGUCCUAGCCGUAAACGAUGGAAACUUGAUCUUGGGGUCCAAAAGACUUCAUGGUCGUAGCUAACGCGUUAAGUUUCCCGCCUGGGAAGUAUGCUCGCAAGAGUGAAACUCAAAGGAAUUGACGGGAGCCCGCACAAGCGGUGGAUUAUGCGGUUUAAUUCGAUGCAACACGAAGAACCUUACCAGGGCUUGACAUGUCACGAAGGAGCCAGAAACGGCUCUGUGUUGUUGCUUGCAACAUCACGUGAACACAGGUGGUGCACGGCUGUCGUCAGCUCGUGUCGUAAGAUGUUGUGUUAAGUCACGCAACGAGCGCAACCCUCGUGCUUUGUUCAAUAUCGUCAAAGCAGACUGCUGGUGAGAAAUCAGAGGAAGGUGAGGAUGAUGUCAAGUCAGCAUGCCCCUUACGCCCUGGGCUACACGCGUAAUACAAUGGCCAAUACAAAGAGAAGCAAAGGGGCGACCCCAAGCAAACCUCAAAAAGUUGGUCUCAGUUCAGAUUGCAGGCUGCAACUCGCCUGCAUGAAGGUGGAAUCGCUAGUAAUCGUUGGUCAGCUAUACAACGGUGAAUCCGUUCCCGGGCUUUGUACACACCGCCCGUCACACCAUGGGAGCUGACUAUGCCCAAAGUCGUUACUCCAACCGUAAGGAGGGGGAUGCCUAAGGCAGAGUGAGUGACUGGGGUGAAGUCGUAACAAGGUAGCCGUUCUGGAAGGAGUGGCUGGAACACCUCCUUA
rnacentral:rRNA from 1 species